rnacentral:rRNA from 1 species
AACGAACGCUGGCGGCAUGCCUAACACAUGCAAGUCGAACGAGACCUUCGGGUCUAGUGGCGCACGGGUGCGUAACGCGUGGGAACCUGCCCUUAGGUUCGGACUAACUCCCCGAAAGGGGUGCUAAUACCGGAUAAUGUCUUCGGACCAAAGAUUUAUCGCCUUUGGAUGGGCCCGCGUUGGAUUAGCUAGUUGGUAGGGUAAAAGCCUACCAAGGCGACGAUCCAUAGCUGGUCUGAGAGGAUGAUCAGCCACACUGGGACUGAGACACGGCCCAGACUCCUACGGGAGGCAGCAGUGGGGAAUAUUGGACAAUGGGCGAAAGCCUGAUCCAGCAAUGCCGCGUGAGUGAUGAAGGCCUUAGGGUUGUAAAGCUCUUUUAACCGGGAUGAUAAUGACAGUACCGGGAGAAUAAGCUCCGGCUAACUCCGUG